AUGUUUUAGUAUAUGAUGUAUAAAAGUUUUUGAUACUUUAGGGGGUAGUUUAAUUCUGCCAGAUGUAAU
rnacentral:tRNA from 1 species